UCCCUAGUGGUUCAGUGGGUAAGACUCCGCACUACCAAUGCAGGGGGGCUGGGUUCGAUCCCCAGUUGGGGAA